CACGUAGGGCGCAAGCGUUGUCCGGAAUUAUUGGGCGUAAAGCGCGCGCAGGUGGUUUCUUAAGUCUGAUGUGAAAGCCCACGGCUCAACCGUGGAGGGUCAUUGGAAACUGGGAGACUUGAGUGCAGAAGAGGAAAGUGGAAUUCCAUGUGUAGCGGUGAAAUGCGUAGAGAUCGGGAAGAACACCAGUGGCGAAGGCGGUCUGCUGGGCCGUUGCUGACGCUGAGGCGCGACAGCGUGGGGAGCAAACAGG
rnacentral:rRNA from 1 species